AAGUGGAUUAGUGGCGCACGGGUGAGUAACGCAUAGGUCAUAUGCCUCAUAGUCUAGGAUAGCCACUGGAAACGGUGAUUAAUACUGGAUACUCCCUAUGGGGGAAAGUUUUUCGCUAUGAGAUUAGCCUAUGUCUUAUCAGCUUGUUGGUGAGGUAAUGGCUCACCAAGGCUAUGACGGGUAUCCGGCCUGAGAGGGUGAACGGACACACUGGAACUGAGACACGGUCCAGACUCCUACGGGAGGCAGCAAGUAAGGGAAUAUUGCUCAUAUGGGGGUAAACCCUGAAGCUAGCUUACGCACGCGUGGUAGGAUGAAGGUUCUCUUAGGGAUUGUACACUCCUUUUGUUAGAGAAGCAUC
rnacentral:rRNA from 1 species